rnacentral:rRNA from 1 species
AAUGCAGUCGAGCGAACAGACGAGGAGCUUGCUCCUCUGACGUUAGCGGCGGACGGGUGAGUAACACGUGGAUAACCUACCUAUAAGACUGGGAUAACUUCGGGAAACCGGAGCUAAUACCGGAUAAUAUAUUGAACCGCAUGGUUCAAUAGUGAAAGACGGUUUUGCUGUCACUUAUAGAUGGAUCCGCGCCGCAUUAGCUAGUUGGUAAGGUAACGGCUUACCAAGGCAACGAUGCGUAGCCGACCUGAGAGGGUGAUCGGCCACACUGGAACUGAGACACGGUCCAGACUCCUACGGGAGGCAGCAGUAGGGAAUCUUCCGCAAUGGGCGAAAGCCUGACGGAGCAACGCCGCGUGAGUGAUGAAGGUCUUCGGAUCGUAAAACUCUGUUAUUAGGGAAGAACAAAUGUGUAAGUAACUAUGCACGUCUUGACGGUACCUAAUCAGAAAGCCACGGCUAACUACGUGCCAGCAGCCGCGGUAAUACGUAGGUGGCAAGCGUUAUCCGGAAUUAUUGGGCGUAAAGCGCGCGUAGGCGGUUUUUUAAGUCUGAUGUGAAAGCCCACGGCUCAACCGUGGAGGGUCAUUGGAAACUGGAAAACUUGAGUGCAGAAGAGGAAAGUGGAAUUCCAUGUGUAGCGGUGAAAUGCGCAGAGAUAUGGAGGAACACCAGUGGCGAAGGCGACUUUCUGGUCUGUAACUGACGCUGAUGUGCGAAAGCGUGGGGAUCAAACAGGAUUAGAUACCCUGGUAGUCCACGCCGUAAACGAUGAGUGCUAAGUGUUAGGGGGUUUCCGCCCCUUAGUGCUGCAGCUAACGCAUUAAGCACUCCGCCUGGGGAGUACGACCGCAAGGUUGAAACUCAAAGGAAUUGACGGGGACCCGCACAAGCGGUGGAGCAUGUGGUUUAAUUCGAAGCAACGCGAAGAACCUUACCAAAUCUUGACAUCCUCUGACCCCUCUAGAGAUAGAGUUUUCCCCUUCGGGGGACAGAGUGACAGGUGGUGCAUGGUUGUCGUCAGCUCGUGUCGUGAGAUGUUGGGUUAAGUCCCGCAACGAGCGCAACCCUUAAGCUUAAUUGCCAUCAUUAAGUUGGGCACUCUAAGUUGACUGCCGGUGACAA